rnacentral:rRNA from 1 species
AACACCUAAAAUGUGGAAUAUAGCAUAUAGUCGACAAGAGAAAUCUACGAAAAACAAACAAAACUUUCAACAACGGAUCUCUUGGUUCUCGCAUCGAUGAAGAGCGCAGCGAAAUGCGAUACCUAGUGUGAAUUGCAGCCAUCGUGAAUCAUCGAGUUCUUGAACGCACAUUGCGCCCCUCGGCAUUCCGGGGGGCAUGCCUGUUUGAGCGUCGUUUCCAUCUUGCGCGUGCGCAGAGUUGGGGGAGCGGAGCGGACGACGUGUAAAGAGCGUCGGAGCUGCGACUCGCCUGAAAGGGAGCGAAGCUGGCCGAGCGAACUAGACUUUUUUUCAGGGACGCUUGGCGGCCGAGAGCGAGUGUUGCGAGACAACAAAAAGCUCGACCUCAAAUCAGGUAGGAAUACCCGCUGAACUUAAGCAUAUCAAUAAGCGGAGGAAA